rnacentral:tRNA from 1 species
GUACGUAUAAUUUAUCUGGUAAAAUAAGUGAUUUCCAAUCAUUAAUGGCGGGUUCGAGUCUCGUUAUGUACA